GCGGCAGGCCUAACACAUGCAAGUCGAGGGGUAACAUAGAAAAGCUUGCUUUUCUGAUGACGACCGGCGCACGGGUGCGUAACGCGUAUACAAUCUGCCUUGUACUGGGGUAUAGCCUUUAGAAAUGAAGAUUAACCCCCCAUAGUCUCUUUAAAUGGCAUCAUUUUUAGAGUAAAGGUUACGGUACAAGAUGAGUAUGCGUUCUAUUAGUUAGUUGGUGAGGUAACGGCUCACCAAGACUGCGAUAGAUAGGGGCCCUGAGAGGGGGAUCCCCCACACUGGUACUGAGACACGGACCAGACUCCUACGGGAGGCAGCAGUGAGGAAUAUUGGACAAUGGAGGCAACUCUGAUCCAGCCAUGCCGCGUGCAGGAAGACUGCCCUAUGGGUUGUAAACUGCUUUUGUACAGGAAGAAACCUUGGUACGUGUACCAAGCUGACGGUACUGUAAGAAUAAGGAUCGGCUAACUCCGUGCCAGCAGCCGCGGUAAUACGGAGGAUCCAAGCGUUAUCCGGAAUCAUUGGGUUUAAAGGGUCCGUAGGUGGAUAAUUAAGUCAGAGGUGAAAUCUUGCAGCUCAACUGUAAAAUUGCCUUUGAUACUGGUUAUCUUGAGUCAUUAUGAAGUAGUUAGAAUAUGUAGUGUAGCGGUGAAAUGCAUAGAUAUUACAUAGAAUACCAAUUGCGAAGGCAGAUUACUAAUAAUGUACUGACACUGAUGGACGAAAGCGUGGGUAGCGAACAGGAUUAGAUACCCUGGUAGUCCACGCCGUAAACGAUGGUUACUAGCUGUGUGGAUUUCGGUCUGCGUGGCUAAGCGAAAGUGAUAAGUAACCCACCUGGGGAGUACG
rnacentral:rRNA from 1 species